rnacentral:snoRNA from 1 species
UUGCUGUGAUGUAUGAAUUUCUUCACCUGAAAUCAAAGUGAAGAUCAAAUUAUACGAGCUUUUUAACCCUGAGUGAU